rnacentral:rRNA from 1 species
AUGACUGGGGAGGUGAACAACUACUAUUUGCUUCCCGAAGAACCCGACCCCUUGCGCACCUUGCAUCAUAAGGAUAGCAUCGCCAAGGUGAUGUUUCUCGCAGCCGUGGCUAAACCAAGAUACGGCAAAGGUGGUGAGGUCACUUUUGAUGGAAAGCUCGGCAUUUGGGCUUUUGUCACAGAGUCUCCUGCUCAAAGAACCAGUGAAAACAGAGAUAAAGGGACGCUCGAGCUCAAAUCAUUGAAAGUCACACGAGAUGUAAUGAGGUAUUACAUGUGUGAGAAACUUAUUCCUGCGAUCCAAGAGCGCUGGCCGGACGAAGAUGAAGGACGGACAAUCUAUAUCCAACAAGAUAAUGCCACGCCACAUAUUCUUCCCGAUGACCCGGUUUUCCGACAAGUCAUAGAACAAACUGAUUUGGAUAUUAAGUUGCUUCAACAGCCUCCAAACAGUCCCGACAUGAACAUUCUUGAUCUCUGCAUAUUCAGGUCUCUCCAGUCCCACACUGAUAGCAGAGCACCUCAAAGCAUCAGGGAACUGAUAGAAGGUGUGGAGGAGGAAUAUCGAAACUACCCGGUUGAUAAGCUAGCUAGAAGCUUCGUGACGCUGCAGUCAUGCAUCCGAGAAGUAAUGAGAAACAAGGGAGCGAUAAACUACUCGAUCCCUCACAUGAACAAGGAACGCCGGCAGGCAGAAGGAUGA